rnacentral:rRNA from 1 species
AGCAGCCGCGGUAAUUCCAGCUCCAAUAGCGUAUAUUAAAGUUGUUGCAGUUAAAAAGCUCGUAGUUGAAUUUCGGGAUCAAUAUAUUGGUCAUGCUUAGGUAUGUACUGGUAUUAUUGAUUUCUCCCUUCUGAAGAACCAUGAUGUCAUUAAUUUGAUGUCGUGGGGAAUCAGGACUGUUACUUUGAAAAAAUUAGAGUGUUUAAAGCAGGCUUUCGCUUGAAUACAUUAGCAUGGAAUAAUGAAAUAGGACGUUUGAUUCUAUUUUGUUGGUUUCUAGGAUCGACGUAAUGAUUAAUAGGGAUAGUUGGGGGCAUUAGUAUUCAAUUGUCAGAGGUGAAAUUCUUGGAUUUAUUGAAGACUAACUACUGCGAAAGCAUUUGCCAAGGAUGUUUUCAUUAAUCAAGAACGAAAGUUAGGGGAUCGAAGACGAUCAGAUACCGUCGUAGUCUUAACCAUAAACUAUGCCGACUAGGGAUCGGAUGAUGCUAAUUUUUUAAUGA